CCACUGAGCAUGGGCAGGGACCGAACCCGCAACCUCAUGGUUCCUAGUCGGAUUCGUUAACCACUGCGCCACGACGGGAACUCCAAACCUGACUUUUAAAUUCGAACACACCCCUGAGCCCUGGACGUUCCCCUCUUGCCAUUAUGACAUGUGGGGUGAAGGUGGGAGGAGGCCUCCGUCUGGCAGAGGCCCCUUUAAAAAUGUACCCGGGUUCCUCCUCUGCCAACCAAGUUCUAAAAAUAUUACUCCAGCAAAAGCUGAAAUAUUUGCAGAGAAAACUGAAUUUCCUGCUACCCUCACCCCCUCCACUCAAAUGGGCCUGCUGCCAUCCUUCUCCCUCAACUGUGGGGGCCAGCGAAGACAGAGGAGAUGUUUUGAAAUCUGAAGAGUCAAGGAGGAUAACUGCAGCACCGAAGGCCAGCAGGUUAACAGAGUGAGGUAGCCUGCUGCCCAAAGCAGCCUGGCCCAGCAUUCCACGGUGCUUCUGUCCCCUUUCCUUGUUCAUCUAUUCAAGAAUCAGAGGUUCAG
rnacentral:lncRNA from 1 species